GUUAGUUGGCCGUUAGCUGCAUUUACACAACAUCGAUACGCCGCCGUCCAUCGGAAAGCGGUCGGUCCGGACAGAUGUUGUCAUACCGUUCCCAUUCGUCCAAAGUUUAAAUGCCAAUCGAACACAGCGCGCGAACAUUAAUUUCCCAGACAAACAAAUGUAGGUUCCUGCAAGACCGCCAGAGAAAGAUGCAGAGCAUGUGUCAAAGCAACAAACGAACGGGGCCUGGGUUCAGUUGCAGGACUCCGGGAUUCGAACAACCACACACAUCGCCAGCUGACUGAUUCCUUGGCCGAACGAUUUGAACCAAACAGAACAGAAGCGGAGGGUGAUUAGGCAGGAAUGUUUGCUGCGCUGCGCCGCACUCUCAUUGUAAAGCCAAGCACCGAGCAAGCGCCAGUUAUCCCUUCAUAAAACACUCCAUCUGCGCGUAAAUGUGGCUUACAACAUGCAUCAACAACGCUAACUACCUUCAACAUUUCUAGCCUAGCGGAGGAACUGUGGGCUAGAGAGUGGAAGUCGAUGGGAAAAGACUCGAAUAACGGUAAAUAAGAGCAUAAGCACAUGAUAUUUUCCGAAUAAUCAAGAAAAGUACAUUGAAAGGAUUCUACAAGCCCACAGUCCGGAGCAUAUAGGGACCGAUAGACGACACAGCGAAUCGAGGAGCAGAGGUAAUGAAUAGGAAUAAGUGCAUAUGACUGCAAAAUCAAUCUGCGCUCAGGAGGCGCUUCUGAAUGAGUGUUGUCCUUGGCAGUUAUCGAUGGUAAGCGCCCGCUCUUUUUCCCAUUGGACACCUUUCACCCUUGAACGUGGGACUGACUGGCUUUGAUGCGGCAGAUGAGAGAGGUUUCGUCACAUAUGCGAUGUGAGUGUUUGCUUAGCAGAUGUGAUUGGGAUGAAGUUGACGCCAAUUAUAAAGCCGAAUGAAAUGCCGUAAGGGUUUUACGAAUUCGUAGUUGUAUUCUUAUUGUAUACAAAUAAUACCGUAACACUAUUAGGGAACCAUGUAACUUCAUUUUCAAAUCAAUUUUAAAUAGCC